GACUCACUCAACCUGGGUGUGAUGUUUUAGAUCUGGUAUCCAUCACAACCUCCUUGAGUGAGCGA
rnacentral:pre_miRNA from 6 species